rnacentral:rRNA from 1 species
AUUCCAGCUCCAAUAGCGUAUAUUAAAGUUGUUGCAGUUAAAAAGCUCGUAGUUGGAUUUGUGGUGUACUUCGGCGGCCCGUCACUAUGUGAUGGAGCUUGCUGAAGUCGCCAUCCUUGGGUGGAUCCUGUGUGGCAUUAAGUCGUCGUGCAGGGGAUGCCCAUCGUUUACUGUGAAAAAAUUAGAGUGUUCAAAGCAGGCUUAUGCCGUUGAAUAUAUUAGCAUGGAAUAAUAAGAUAGGACCUUGGUACUAUUUUGUUGGUUUGCGCACCAAGGUAAUGAUUAAUAGGGACAGUUGGGGGUAUUCGUAUUUCAUUGUCGGAGGUGAAAUUCUUGGAUUUUUGAAAGACGAACUACUGCGAAAGCAUUUACCAAGGAUGUUUUCAUCG